rnacentral:piRNA from 1 species
UGCCAAGUGUCCUGUGACCCAAAUAGA